rnacentral:rRNA from 1 species
UACGUAGGGUGCGAGCGUUGUCCGGAAUCACUGGGCGUAAAGCGCACGUAGGCGGAUCUUUAAGUCAGGGGUGAAAUCCUGGAGCUCAACUCCAGAACUGCCUUUGAUACUGGGGAUCUCGAGUCCGGAAGAGGUAAGUGGAACUCCGAGUGUAGAGGUGAAAUUCGUAGAUAUUCGGAAGAACACCAGUGGCGAAGGCGGCUUACUGGUCCGGUACUGACGCUGAGGUGCGAAAGCGUGGGGAGCAAACAGG